GCAAAACGCGAAGAACCUUACCCACCUUUGACAUGUACGGAAUCCUUUAGAGAUAGAGGAGUGCUCGAAAGAGAGCCGUAACACAGGUGCUGCAUGGCUGUCGUCAGCUCGUGUCGUGAGAUGUUGGGUUAAGUCCCGCAACGAGCGCAACCCUUGCCAUUAGUUGCUACGAAAGGGCACUCUAAUGGGACUGCCGGUGACAAACCGGAGGAAGGUGGGGAUGACGUCAAGUCCUCAUGGCCCUUAUAGGUGGGGCUACACACGUCAUACAAUGGCUGGUACAAAGGGGUUGCCAACCCGCGAGGGGAGCUAAUCCCAUAAAGCCAGUCGUAGUCCGGAUCGCAGUCUGCAACUCGACUGCGUGAAGUCGGAAUCGCUAGUAAUCGCGAAUCAGAAUGUCGCGGUGAAUACGUUCCGGGUCUUGUACAC
rnacentral:rRNA from 1 species